AGAAACUUAAGUUAUACAAACUAGGAGCCUUCAAAGCCCCAAAUAAAGCACCCCUUUAGUUUCUGCCA
rnacentral:tRNA from 1 species